GUUUUUCCUUCUUUCGCCGCGGUUCAGCACUUACCCAGUUUAGUAUUGAAAGAUUCAGUUUCUUGUUUGCCAUCGGAAUGGCGAAGGAGGAAUUUAGGGUCUACAAUUCGAUGACACAGCAGAAGGAAGUCUUCACGCCGAAGGAGCCUGGUAAGGUUGGCAUGUACGUUUGUGGCAUCACGGCCUAUGAUUUCAGCCAUAUUGGUCAUGCCCGUG
rnacentral:misc_RNA from 1 species